UACCGAGAGCAAUUAAAAAAAGCUUUCGAUGGAGAAAUGUCACAAGACGAUAUAGAAAAGCUUCCAGAAGAAGCUUUAUAUGCCGCAAAAUGUGAAAAGGAAGGAAGAAAGAAAACUGGAGGAGGAAGCUGCGAAAGCACCACCAACGACUCAAUGAGUCUGGUGCUAUCGAUAAUGGGUGAUACGGUAAAGCCUUUACCAAAUCCAUUUGAUAGUGCCAGCUCUUAUCACGGUACAAAUCAAAGUUUGCAUUUACUUAAUAAAAACAUUGUUUUAAAGAUGA